rnacentral:rRNA from 1 species
CAUUACACAUGCAGUCGAGCGGUAGCACAGGGGAGCUUGCUCCCCGGGUGACGAGCGGCGGACGGGUGAGUAAUGUCUGGGAAACUGCCUGAUGGAGGGGGAUAACUACUGGAAACGGUAGCUAAUACCGCAUAACGUCGCAAGACCAAAGAGGGGGACCUUCGGGCCUCUUGCCAUCAGAUGUGCCCAGAUGGGAUUAGCUAGUAGGUGGGGUAAUGGCUCACCUAGGCGACGAUCCCUAGCUGGUCUGAGAGGAUGACCAGCCACACUGGAACUGAGACACGGUCCAGACUCCUACGGGAGGCAGCAGUGGGGAAUAUUGCACAAUGGGCGCAAGCCUGAUGCAGCCAUGCCGCGUGUGUGAAGAAGGCCUUCGGGUUGUAAAGCACUUUCAGCGAGGAGGAAGGUGGUGAGCUUAAUACGCUCAUCAAUUGACGUUACUCGCAGAAGAAGCACCGGCUAACUCCGUGCAGGCAGCCACA